rnacentral:rRNA from 1 species
UACGUAGGGUCCGAGCGUUGUCCGGAAUUAUUGGGCGUAAAGGGCUCGUAGGCGGUCCGUCACGUCGGGAGUGAAAACUCAGGGCUUAACCCUGAGCCUGCUUCCGAUACGGGCAGACUAGAGGUAUGCAGGGGAGAACGGAAUUCCUGGUGUAGCGGUGAAAUGCGCAGAUAUCAGGAGGAACACCGGUGGCGAAGGCGGUUCUCUGGGCAUUACCUGACGCUGAGGAGCGAAAGUGUGGGGAGCGAACAGG